GCAGGUUAUGCCGUGAUGACACGUCAUCCCCCAAGUCGUCUCAGGUUCAUUUCACGCUGGCUCGAGGCCAGGGGCCCUGGCUGCGGUCCGCUGGGGACUCGGGUUGAUGGGGCCCAGUCGCCAUCUUAACUGCUACUCGGGGCCAGACUCAAGGAAAGAAAUCCCAGGAGCCUCAAACCAGCCAUGAAAUGCCCCAGCCUAGAAGGAACGCACCCUUGACUCUUGGCCCAGAACUCAUCAUGGCCCCGUCACCCACAAGGGACCCAGGACAACAAAGUUGCAAGGAGUCCAGCGAAGGCUUACCUGUGCCGAGUAAUGACGUUGCCAGCGCUCUGUUGGAAGAAGGCAGCCUGAAAGCAUUGCUUAACGUUAACCAACGUCAGUGUUACCCCCAAUUCCCAGGCUGUGAGCCCCUUGAGGGCAGGGCCGGGUUCUGCAGAAGGGUCUCCGCCAGGUGGACGAGGCCUGGGCGCUGCGGGGAGCGGAGUUCCUGGCGCAUCUCACGCCAGAUGGCUCUCCUGGGCCCUGUAUCUAUCAUGACAGUUGGUCCUGGGGAAAACAGAAGCGACGCUUGAGAGAUGGAUGUCAUUGGCAAAUGGGCUGUGAUGAUCAUGCGUCUCCAUUUUCCCCUUAAUAUACAUGAUGAAUAAACUUAAUUACACGGAAAAUUGCUGCCAUUGAA